CUGAGCAGCCCUUGGGAAGCAGCUGAGGCCUAUUGCUGUCUAUGAAGCUAUGAAGGGGUCAUCAACCAACUUCCAUUUAUUUUCAUAUCUGUGGCUGAACCAGAGACUCAUCCGAUGGUGACAACGAAUAUGCUAGCAAAGAUGAGAGUCUGGAAAAGAUGGCCUUGCUGAACUAAAGUGACCAGAGAUAAACAUGGGCCAAUAGCAAUGAACGUGAGGCAGCACUGGUCAAAGACAUCUCCAGGACUUCAAGCUUUAGAAGUAAGUUUAUUCUCCUUCCAGGUUAUUCUAGAAUCUUGGCUUGAGUCCAUGCCUUCUGAAGUGGAAGAGCUAGAUAAUGGACUUGCAGUAAUUAUUCCACUUGAACAUCUGGGUAAAUAUUUUCUCCAAAAGUAAAUUCUAGAAAAUUGGGAGUUCAGUAUUAAAACUGGCAGUAGCCAAAUAAGGACCACAUACAUUCACCUGGACUGCAGUUUGACCCUAGCAAUAGAUUUAAAGAAGAAUUUCAGAAACUCUCAUGUUCGUAUUUUUCUAUAUUCUCCAGUCACUUUUUUUUUCCAGUCACUUCUAUUGGCCACUAACUAUAUGACAUUUUUAUUUAAAACACCAGGAAUCAGUGAGUUUCUCCAAGAGGGGAUUAUUAUUUCUCUCCCUUCAUUGGGUUCUGAUGAUACUAAUGGAGGUAAACUGUAAAAUUAAUUCCAGGGUAUUUAGACAUAAGGGGGGUGCUACAUCAUACCAGUACUAUCCCCAAGUGUAUGCUUUCAUUUAAUUAGUACACAGCAAUUCUUGCUAAAGCUCAAAAUAAACUAACACAAUAAUACAUUAUGGGCCUAAUUUUAUAACAAGGAUAAUAGCCGGGCAAGAUGAUGCAUGCUUGUGAUCCCAGAACUCAGGAGGCU